rnacentral:rRNA from 1 species
GUGUGCUUCAUACAUGCAAGUCGAACGAUAAGUGUAUUCGGGUGUACAUAAGUGGCGGACGGGUGAGUAACACGUAGAAAAUCUGCCCUAAGGAGGGGGACAACAGUUGGAGACGACUGCUAAUACCCCAUAUGAGCUUAGUUGAAAUACUAAUCUUGAAAGCUCCGGCGCCUUAGGAUGAGUCUGCGCCUGAUUAGCUUGUUGGUAGGGUAAUGGCCUACCAAUGCGACGAUCAGUAGCUGGUUUGAGAGGAUGAUCAGCCACAAUGGGACUGAGACACGGCCCAUACUCCUACGGGAGGCAGCAGUAGGGAAUUUUGCGCAAUGGAGGAAACUCUGACGCAGCAACACCGCGUGAGUGAUGACGCCCCUUGGGGUGUAAAACUCUGUCAGUAGGGACGAAUUUUGACGGUACCUACAGAGGAAGCAUCGGCUAACUACGUGCCAGCAGCCGCGGUAAGACGUAGGAUGCAAGCGUUGUCCGGAAUCAUUGGGCGUAAAGCGUUCGUAGGCGGCAUGUUAAGUUUGAUGUUAAAGCCCGGAGCUCAACUCCGGUUCGGCAUUGGAUACUGGCAAGCUAGAAUGCGGUAGAGGUAAGGGGAAUUCCUGGUGUAGCGGUGAAAUGCGUAGAUAUCAGGAGGAACACCGGUGGCGAAAGCGCCUUACUGGACCGUUAUUGACGCUGAGGAACGAAAGCCAGGGGAGCGAAUGGGAUUAGAUACCCCAGUAGUCCUGGCCGUAAACGAUGGAUACUAGGUGUUGUGGGUAUCGACCCCUGCAGUGCCGUAGUUAACGCGAUAAGUAUCCCGCCUGGGGAGUACGCACGCAAGUGUGAAACUCAAAGGAAUUGACGGGGACCCGCACAAGCGGUGGAACAUGUGGUUUAAUUCGAAGCAACGCGAAGAACCUUACCAGGGCUUGACAUUGAUAGAAUCUUUGNGGAAACCAAAGGGAGUGCUCUUCGGAGAACUUGAAAACAGGUGGUGCAUGGUUGUCGUCAGCUCGUGUCGUGAGAUGUUGGGUUAAGUCCCGCAACGAGCGCAACCCUCGUCGUUAGUUGCAGAUAGUGAUAUAUUGCUAUUAUGCUCUCUAGCGAGACUGCCGGUGACAAACCGGAGGAAGGUGAGGACGACGUCAAAUCAUCAUGCCCCUUAUGCUCUGGGCUACACACGUGUUACAAUGGCUAGGACAACGAGCAGCCAACUCGCGAGAGUCAGCGAAUCUCUUAAACCUAGUCCAAGUUCGGAUCGUAGUCUGCAACUCGACUACGUGAAGUCGGAAUCGCUAGUAAACGCAGAUCAGAAUGCUGCGUUGAAUACGUUCCCGGGUCUUGUACACACCGCCCGUCACACCAUGGAAGUCGAUCACGCCCGAAGUAGGUGUCCUAACUCUUUGAGAGGGAGCCUCCUAAGGCAGGGUUGUGACUGGGGUGAAGUCG